ACACUGGGGAUCGAGUCCGAAACCCGGGCAUGUGCCCUGACCGGGAAUCAAACCGUGACCUCCUGGUUCAUAGGUUGGCGCUUAACCACUGAGCCACACCAGCCAGGCUUGAGCAUCUUUUCAUGUGACUUUUGUACAGAUGGGAAGUUUUCACUUGUCUUAUACUAAUUCAGUGUUUUAUAGAUCGGUUUGAUUUCCCAUUCCCUCCUGAGUCAGCUUCAGUAGUUUGUAGGAAUUUCAUCUAGGUUGCUACAAUUUGCUGACAUAUAGUUGUUCAUAGCAUUCGUUUAUAAGCUUUAUUUCUGUAGGGUCGGAAGAAAGUAUUUGGUCUGGCCCUGCCCUGGCAAUAGGGGCGAGGGAAUGCAAUGCUUGACCAAGUCGAGCAGGCUUUUAGGCUGCUGUGUGGCCCGUGAGUGGUGUCGUGAACACGCACAGGGCCCUGCUUUGUGCAGCUGGCUUACAUCAGAGGGAAGGCAAGGUUCAGGAACAAACGUGCAAUCAUGCCGUCUUCUCUGUGGCUCUGUGGUUGCCUUUGUCAGCGCUCUUCUCCUGGUGGGGUUGAGUCUAGUGUUUUCUCACUUGGGCCUCAGAGAUGCCCUUUUUAUUUCUUGAAGGAAGAUCUAACAGUGAGUUCUCUCCGUGUCUGUCUGGGAAUGCCUUCGUUCCUCCUCCUUCAUUAUGAAGACAAGCUUUGCUGGGAGCAGAAUUCGCUAACAGUCUUCUGACACUGGGAACCCGCCCCCCAUCGCCGUCCGGCCUCAUGGACCUGACGAGAAGCCGCUGCCACUGACACGCGGCGCCUUUGGCACGUGAGGGUCUCCUGCUGCUUCCCAGCCGCCUGUCGUUGGCGGUGUCCCUGGGAGGCACCGGGUGGAUCGUGUGUGUCCUACUUGGAAGUUGUUGAGCUUCUUGAUGUGGAAUUUGGAAGGUUUGACCGUUACUUUGUGGGGGAGUCCCGCCCCGUCUCAUCCUCGGCUGCCAUUGUGUGCGCGACUGUUUGGCCGAUGACGUUUCUGAGGCCUGUUUGUUCUUCACCCUUUUUUCUGUCCCUCAGGCUGGACCUGGUGGCUUCUCUUCAGGUCCAGGCUCCUGCUCCUGCCAGUGAAGGUGCGAUGGGCCUGCUGGUGACUCUCGGUUUCGCUGGAAGAGGCCUCGUACUUCUCAGCGCCAGCACUUCUGCUUGUUCUCGCCUGCGAUUUCCUCUUUCCUGAUGUUCUCUCUGGUGAAACGUCACUCUCACUCUCAUUCUUGAGCUGUGGUUCCCUUUAGUUCUUUAAACAUAUUUGAGUGGUUGCGUUGAAGCCUUUGUCCAGGAAGUUCACCAGCUGGGCGGAGCCAGAGCGGUUUCUGUGGACUCCUGGUUGGCCUGUGUGCGGGCCACACUUCCUGUCUCUGUGUGUCUCACAAUUGUCUUGUGAUUGAAAAUCGAACAUUUUAAUUAAUAUGACGUAGCCGCCUGGGAGUCAGGCUGCUCGGUGUCUGAUGAGUUCUGUAAAGUCUGUGUUCUCUGUUGUGCUUGGCCGUGAGGUCUCUGCUGGGUCAGUGUACUGCCCAGCUGAUGAUGGACCUUCAGCACUCCGCCAGGCAGUGCCAGCGCUGCCUUGCCUCCCCUCCCGCCUGUGCAGAGCUUCAAGGUCAGUCAGAGGUGAGGGCCUGGGGUCUUGGUCAGCCUCUGGUUGGCCCAGCUGGUCUCCCGCCAGCAGCUGCAUCAUUAAACAACCCGCACCGAGCACUCAGGCAGAGGCGAGCCGGCCCUGCAAGUGCGAUCUCCAGGGAGCCGCUGGGCGGUCAUCUAGUGGCCAUUCCCUGAGGACAAGGCUCCCCCUCCCGGGCCCGGAGCUGAGGGGCAGUGGGAGCAGCGCACACUGAAGCCACAGAGCAGCCCGACUCAGGCCCAGCUGUUUUCUCGGAUGAACACUCCUUGGAUUGUUCUGAGUCUGUGUUAAUUCCCAGAGUUUUGGAAAAGUUUGUCCGGUUUCUCUGUGGCUCACGGGCCCUUCCUCUGCCGUGGGAGGGGCUGCCCCGUGCCCGCGUGGCCUCCGCGUGCGGACGGCCGUGGUGUGCGUGGAGGUUCAGUGUUGGCAAGGGCUCUGCCCCCUUGCUGUGGCCAGCAGUCCUGCGGCAGGUGUGCAUGCACGCGUGUCUUCUCACACGCGCGUCUUCUCACACGUGAAUGCUUCCUGGGCUUCACUCCUGGGAGGGGGGUGCUGGUCAGGGCGGUGGGGCAAGUACCAUGUGGUGAGACUGCAGUGUGGCUCUCAGAAGUGGUGUCAGUCCACCAUGACCACGUCCUCGGCGUGUUCCUGACGUCGGACCCCAGGUCUGACCCCCACGCCCUCGGCGUAUUCAUGGCAGUCGUCGAUCUUCGCCAGGCAACGUGCAGUCUCGGAGUUGGAUAUCUGUCUCAGAAGUGAGACUUGUUUUCCUUUUCUAUAAAUUGUGUCCUGGCCCUUGCUCUUUUUCUGUUGGCUUGUUUACUUAUUAAAUUGUAGGAGCUCUUUAUUCAUUAAGAAAAUGAGCCCUACGUUGUACAUUGCAAA